rnacentral:rRNA from 1 species
AGUGAACGCUGGCGGCGUGCCUAAUACAUGCAAGUCGAACGGAGUGGCGCACGGGGGAGUAAUAUAUAGCUAAUCUGCCCCUUUCUGGAGGACACCAGUUAGAAAUGAAUGCUAAUACUCCAUAGCAAGGUAUGAGGCUAUAUCGUAUCAGCUAGUCGGUGGGGUAACGGCGUACCGAGGGUAUGACGUUUAACUGGUCUGCGAGGAGGAUCAGUAACACUGGAACGGAGACACGGUCCCAAAUCUUACGGGAUGCAGCAGUAGGGAAUACUGCGCAAUGGGGGAUACCCUGACGCAGCAACGGCGCGUGGAGGAUGACACUGUGCGGAGAGUAAACUCCUUUUGUUAGGGAAGCGGUACCUAACGAAUAAGCACCGGCUAACUCCGUGCCAGAGCCGCGGUAAUAC